GCAAAAAAAAAAAAAAAAUGUUUUUCAGUUUGGGAUGAGCUUUUGUCAUUGUGUCAUUGAAUUAUAUUUAUUUAUUUAUUUGUUUGUUUUUUUUACUUCGGCCAUAUGUCAGCAGUGUUGUGAUUUGAAAUGAUGCCACUGUCUAGGAUGCCUUCAUUAGUAUCUACGUGCUGUUUUUUUUACAAUGAUUUUUUUUUUCACUCAUUUAAGUAUGACUGUUGGGGGUUCUGUUUAUGUUUUACUUUUACAAAGUAAUGUUUUAAAUGUACCAUAUGAUAUAUAUAUAUUUAUAAUAUAUAUAUACCGGUAGGUAAAUAAGAGUUACUUCUCCUGUACACCUUUUGUUAUUUCUGUAUUUGACAUCACUGCAAGAAGUGAAUAGGUUGUUGACUCUUGUUUUUUUCCUUGCAUUUGUUUUUUAUUUCUUAACUUGUUUGUUUUGGAUGUAUGUAUGAUGCUAUAUUAGAGUUCUUUUUUUUUCUUCUUUAUAUUAUUAGACAAUGUGCAAAAAAAAAAAGGGUCUCUGCAAAAAUAGUUAUGCAGUCAAAUCUGGUUAAUUGGACCAGCCACUUGUUCAGACCAAAACCUAAAAUACUUAAACCAAUCCUCUUAUACAAGUGAAUUCUGUUUAUCAGACUAGCUGGUUAUUGCUUUCUGAUGUAGUUCUAUGUACUAGAUUCAACCGUACCAUAUAGACUCUAGAAUUAGAAGCUAUCUAGAAUUAGAAGUGAUCCGUGCUUUAGUUUAGUUUGACCUAACUAUGGAAAAGUGGAUGUUGGGAAGAAAGAAGGUCAAAGAAUCAGUUAUAGAGAAAUUGAGCCAGUCUCAAGUAGUUCUCAAAAAUGUAAUCCUGACAGUCACAGUGACUGGUUGCUAUAGAUUCUUUUAAAGUUUGGGUUUUUCCACUUGAGUUUGGGGAAUAAGAGGAACAGGGUUUAGUUUUCAGAAAGUCUGUUAUGGCUGAAGUGUAAGUUUGAUUAUAUUGAUUCAAGCUGAGAUUAGAUGAGUUUAAGAGCAUGAGUUUUAGAUGACUGCAAUCUACUAGUCUUCAUUUUAAUGAAAUAUAUACAAGAAAUGGUUAUGAUAAAUCUAAGGUCAAAGGAAUUUAAAUGCACGAGUUCUAGAUUACUCCAGUGUUCCAUAGCCUACAGGAGCUCCUUAAUAGCCUUGUUUUACAUUAUGUAAAUGUUAUUAGCGAUGAAUAGGUAUAUACAUAAAUGUAUGGUAACUUUAUUUAUAUAUAUAUAUAUCAAGCUCCAUGUGUGUACUAUAAAUAUGCCUCUACAGUACUGAGUUAUGUGAUCUGUGUCAGUGGCUCUAGGAUGUUUGACAACUACAUUAACAUAAAUGAAUGACUGUUUUGGAUAUAUGCAAAAAAACAAAACAUCUGUCUUGAUAUAUUAUAUUUAUAUAUAUAUAUAGGCCUAUUUACACAAGUCUGCAUGUGUAUGCCAGUGUGCUUGUAAAGAUUUAUUUGUUUUUGUAAUUAUUCAAUGUCAGCUUUGUGUGAGGAGUGAAAGGAAGUAAUCAUUGUUUGCUGUAACAGACAACUCUCCAGGAGGAAAUAGGAACUAUGUAAUAAAACUACAAAAAAAAAUUGGGAAUAUGUCAAUUGCGUUGUUUUAAUCCCUUUGUUUGUUUUUUUCCUGGUAUAUAAAUAAAGUUGACAGAAAGUCCAGUAUCAGUUUUAGCUACUCAUGUUUUGGUGCUUCUAUAUUUUUAUUUUUACAUUCUUAUAAUUUUGAAUUCCUUAUUUUUUUAAGCAAGAGUAGGCCUAUUAUGUCCAACUUAGUAUUCAACUAGUUCAUUCUUUUUAUACCAGAUUAGAACG